GAUGAAGGCGAAUCAUCCUUGUCUGUUCGAAGGGUAAAUUGAGGUAUGAAUUUAGAAUUUGAAAUUCUAAUCAAGUUUUGGAGUAUUGAGUUCGUUUCGAGGACGAAACUCUUUUAAGGUGAGAAGGAUGUAAGGAAGCGAAUUCUCGAAACUCGAGGAUUAGACUUCGAUUAGAAUCGACUAGUGGUCGAGUGUGUAAUCUUCGGAAAGUCCGAAGGUGAUCUUAAUGCGU
rnacentral:lncRNA from 1 species